GAUGAACGCUGGCGGCGUGCCUAAUACAUGCAAGUCGAGCGAACAGACGAGGAGCUUGCUCCUCUGACGUUAGCGGCGGACGGGUGAGUAACACUUGGAUAACCUACCUAUAAGACUGGGAUAACUUCGGGAAACCGGAGCUAAUACCGGAUAAUAUAUUGAACCGCAUGGUUCAAUAGUGAAAGACGGUUUUGCUGUCACUUAUAGAUGGAUCCGCGCCGAAUUAGCUAGUUGGUAAGGUAACGGCUUACCAAGGCAACGAUGCGUAGCCGACCUGAGAGGGUGAUCGGCCACACUGGAACUGAGACACGGUCAAGACUCCUACGGGAGGCAGCAGUAGGGAAUCUUCCGCAAUGGGCGAAAGCUUGACGGAGAAAAGACGCGUGAGUAAUGAAGGUCUUCGGAUAGUAAAACUCUGUUAUUAGGGAAGAACAAAUGUGUAAGUAACUAUGCACGUCUUGACGGUACCUAAUCAGAAAGCCACGGCUAACUACGUG
rnacentral:rRNA from 1 species